GAGGGUAUAGUUCAGUGGUAGAGUGCAUGCUUAGCAUGCACGGGGUCCUAGGUUCAAUCCCCAGUACCUCCA
rnacentral:tRNA from 1 species